GCUUGGGUAGCUCAGUUGGUAGAGCACUUGCCCGCGGAAGGCAAAGGUCCCGAGUUCGAAUCUCGGUCUGGAACA
rnacentral:tRNA from 1 species